CUACUACCUAUCAAUCAUCAAUGAAUCUUGAAAAAUUUGGCAUGAUGCAUGCACAAAAUGAUCACUUUUCCUAUAGUGACCUGUCAGGAUUAUCUCAAUACAUACAACACACUACCUGUCAGAGCAGCAAUCACAUAAUCCGUCACAUAAUGAACCUGGACAAUAUAUAUCAAUACAUUAUCUCAGGCAUAUAACUCAUAUGUAUAAAAAUCUGGUUUCUAUUCCAUCCAUGGUCAAACCCAUAUCCACAACAGGAUCUAUGACUGUAACUGUACACUAUAUACAACAGAAGGUUUAUA
rnacentral:lncRNA from 1 species